rnacentral:rRNA from 1 species
GUAGUCAUAUGCUUGUCUCAAAGAUUAAGCCAUGCAUGUCUAAGUAUAAGCAACUAUACGGUGAAACUGCGAAUGGCUCAUUAAAUCAGUUAUCGUUUAUUUGAUAGUACCUUACUACUUGGAUAACCGUGGUAAUUCUAGAGCUAAUACAUGCUAAAAACCCCGACUUCGGAAGGGGUGUAUUUAUUAGAUAAAAAACCAGCGCCCUUCGGGGCUCCUUGGUGAUUCAUAAUAACUUAACGAAUCGCAUGGCCUUGCGCCGGCGAUGGUUCAAUCAAGUUUCUUCCCUAUCAACUUUCGAUGGUUCGGUAUUGGCCAACCAUGGUUGCAACGGGUAACGGGGAAUGA